GCCUGGCGUGGUGGCGGGCGCCUGUAAUCCCAGCUACUCAGGAGGCUGAGGCAGGAGAUUUGCUUGAACCCAGGAAGUGGAGGCUGCAGUGAGCCGAGAUAGUACCACUGCACUCCAGCCUGGGUGACAGAGCGAGACUCUGUCUCAA
rnacentral:sRNA from 1 species